UACGUAGGGGGCAAGCGUUGUCCGGAUUUAUUGGGCGUAAAGAGCGUGUAGGCGGCCGUACAGGUCAGCUGUGAAAACUCGAGGCUCAACCUCGAGACGUCGGUUGAAACCGUACGGCUAGAGUCCGGAAGAGGAGAGUGGAAUUCCCGGUGUAGCGGUGAAAUGCGCAGAUAUCGGGAAGAACACCCGUGGCGAAGGCGGCUCUCUGGGACGGUACUGACGCUGAGACGCGGAAAAGCGUGGGGGAGCGAACAGGA
rnacentral:rRNA from 1 species